rnacentral:rRNA from 1 species
CCUACGGGAGGCAGCAGUGAGGAAUAUUGGUCAAUGGACGAGAGUCUGAACCAGCCAAGUAGCGUGAAGGAUGACUGCCCUAUGGGUUGUAAACUUCUUUUAUAUGGGAAUAAAACGUUCCACGUGUGGGAUUUUGUAUGUACCAUAUGAAUAAGGAUCGGCUAACUCCGUGCCAGCAGCCGCGGUAAUACGGAGGAUCCGAGCGUUAUCCGGAUUUAUUGGGUUUAAAGGGAGCGUAGGUGGAUUGUUAAGUCAGUUGUGAAAGUUUGCGGCUCAACCGUAAAAUUGCAGUUGAAACUGGCAGUCUUGAGUACAGUAGAGGUAGGCGGAAUUCGUGGUGUAGCGGUGAAAUGCUUUGAUAUCACGAAGAACUCCGAUUGCGAAGGCAGUUCACUGGACUGCAACUGACACUGAGGCUCGAAAGUGUGGGUAUCAAACAGGAUUAGAUACCCUAGUAGUC